UCGGGUAUGGUGUAACGCUAAUAUUUCUGGCUCUCAACAUUGGAUCUUCCAAUAUGAGCACUCAGGGGCCCAGGGUUCGAUUCCCCGUACCCGAG